rnacentral:rRNA from 1 species
GAUGAACGCUGGCGGCGUGCCUAAUACAUGCAAGUCGAGCGAACGGACGAGGAGCUUGCUUCUCUGAUGUUAGCCGCGGACGGGUGAGUAACACGUGGAUACCCUACCUAUCAUACUGGGAUAACUUCGGGAAACCGGAGCUAAUACCAUAUGAUCUUCUGCACCGCAUGGUUCAAAGGUGAAAGACGGUCUUGCUGUCACUUAUAGAUGGAUCCGCGCUGCUUUAGAUAGUUGGUAAGUUCACGGCUUACCAAGGCAACGAUGCGUAGACGAGCUGAGAGGGUGAUCGGCCACCCUAGAGCGGGGACGGGGUCCAGACGCCUACGAGAGGGAGCAGUAGGGAAUGUGACGCAAUGGGCGAAAGCAUGACGGAGCAAGGCGGCGUGAGUGAUGAAGGUCUUCGGAGCGUAAAACUCUGUUAUUAGGGAAGAACAGAUGUGUAAGGAACCGUGCACAUCGUGACGGUACCUAAUCAGAAAGCCACGGCUAACUACGUG